GCGGAAAUAGCUCAGUGGUAGAGCACCACCUUGCCAAGGUGGGGGUCGCGGGUUCGAAUCCCGUUUUCCGCU
rnacentral:tRNA from 1 species